GGGGCCGACUGGUUUUGACAGCGAGACCAAUGGCAAUGUAAGCAUGCCGAGCUAUGGGAAUGAUGCUCGUAAAUUCAAUAUCCCACACUUUUAAAUGGCGAGUCUAACUACGCUUUAGCUGCUUAAUCGACUGAAUUAUAGUAAGUCUUAGCCUAGUCCGCCUAGGGCGGAAAGCUAAAUGUUCCUUGGUAGCCCUUGUUGACGGCGACCUUUUUUGGAGCACCAUAAAAGUCAACACAGAAUUUCUAAGGCUUCGAUAGAAAUUCUAAACUUAAGAAGCUAAGCAUACGAUAGGCUGUUUUGGGUCGGUCGUAUGUCGAAAACUGAACCAAAACUAAGCAUGUAGAAAGCUUUGUUAUUGCUUGUUUGGACGAGGGUUCGAAUCCCUCCGGCUCCACUA
rnacentral:tmRNA from 1 species